rnacentral:lncRNA from 1 species
GGAGGGGAGCCAAGAUGGCCAAAUAGGAACAGCUCCGGUCUACAGCUCCCAGCGUGAGCGACGCAGAACACAGGUGAUUUCUGCAUUUCCAUCUGAGGUACCAGGUUCAUCUCACUAGGGAGUGCCAGACAGUGGGCGCAG